rnacentral:rRNA from 1 species
UUUAGAGUUUGGAUCCUGGCUCAGGACGAACGCUGGCGGCGUGCUUAACACAUGCAAGUCGAACGAUGAAGCCGCUUCGGUGGUGGAUUAGUGGCGAACGGGUGAGUAACACGUGGGCAAUCUGCCCUUCACUCUGGGACAAGCCCUGGAAACGGGGUCUAAUACCGGAUACCACUUUGUCCCGCAUGGGACGGGGUUGAAAGCUCCGGCGGUGAAGGAUGAGCCCGCGGCCUAUCAGCUUGUUGGUGGGGUAAUGGCCUACCAAGGCGACGACGGGUAGCCGGCCUGAGAGGGCGACCGGCCACACUGGGACUGAGACACGGCCCAGACUCCUACGGGAGGCAGCAGUGGGGAAUAUUGCACAAUGGGCGAAAGCCUGAUGCAGCGACGCCGCGUGAGGGAUGACGGCCUUCGGGUUGUAAACCUCUUUCAGCAGGAAGAAGCGCAAGUACGUACUC